GAGCCGGGUAGGGGAGCGCAGCGGCCAGAUACCUCAGCGCUACCUGGCGGAACUGGAUUUCUCUCCCGCCUGCCGGCCUGCCUGCCACAGCCGGACUCCGCCACUCCGAGAAGGCCAGCUGGUUGGGGGAACAGCCCCAGUUCUGGUCGAAGACGCAGGUUCUGGACUGGAUCAGCUACCAGGUGGAGAAGAACAAGUACGACGCAAGCGCCAUUGACUUCUCACGAUGUGACAUGGAUGGGGCCACCCUCUGCAAUUGUGCCCUUGAGGAGCUGCGUCUGGUCUUUGGGCCUCUGGGGGACCAACUCCAUGCCCAGCUGCGAGACCUCAGUGAGUCCAGGCCCCUGGAGGCUGGGGAGCAGCUCCACAUGUUGAGCCGAGUUGAGUUCAGUGUGGCCGUAGGCAGGCCCUGGAGCUCUGGGCCAGCGGCACAGCCAGAGAGAGCCCUUGAGGGAGGGAUGAGGGGAGUGUGACCCUUCCUUCCUUCCUUGUCAGCUUCCAGCUCUUCUGAUGAGCUCAGUUGGAUCAUUGAGCUGCUGGAGAAGGAUGGCAUGGCCUUCCAGGAGGCCCUAGACCCAGGGCCCUUUGACCAGGGCAGCCCCUUUGCCCAGGAGCUGCUGGAUGAUGGUCAGCAAGCCAGCCCCUACCACCCCGGCAGCUGUGGCGCAGGAGCCCCCUCCCCUGGCAGCUCUGACGUCUCCACCGCAGGGACUGGUGCUUCUCAGAGCUCCCACUCCUCAGACUCCGGUGGAAGUGACGUGGACCUGGAUCCCACUGAUGGCAAGCUCUUCCCCAGCGAUGGUUUUCGUGACUGCAAGAAGGGGGAUCCCAAGCACGGGAAGCGGAAACGAGGCCGGCCCCGAAAGCUGAGCAAAGAGUACUGGG
rnacentral:sRNA from 1 species